GAGGACAGAAUGUGCAAGCCCUGCUAUACAGCCUGAAAUGCGCACGCCCCUCAUCCUCUCCUGAGAGAGGUGCGCAAAGGCCCAGCCUGCUCUUAGACCCA